UUGGAGUCUUGUGGAGAUCUCAAAAUCACCAGUUUGUAAUCUUCAUGGUGGUAUAUGAUUUCUGGUCUUCUCCUUAUAUACUUGAUUUUGUGAUUUGAUUGUAAUCAUCAAAGUGUUCCUUGGAUUUUUAAGUUCUGUUGGAUGAGUUUAAUUGUUAAACUUAGUUUUCAUUAUUGUAUGUAUGUUAAAAAAUUUUGAAAUCUAUAUUCUGCUACAUCACCAGAACCCAACAUUCUCAAAUACUUAAAGGAUAACUUUCUAGUGAUUCUCAUCCAGAUCUUGCAGAUAUCCACUCACUACUCUUAGUGAGUAUACCGUAUCCGAUCAAGUACAUGAUGUAUAUGAUAGAACAAAUUCUACUGAUAAACACUCUAUGUAUGUUGGACUGGGAUAAGCUAAGCAGCUUCUUAAAUCUAUCUCUAUAGAUCUUCAUCCCUAGGAUGAGAGAUGCUUUUCCAAAGUCCUUUAUGGAGAACUAUGAUAAUAGUGAAACAUUUAUUCUCUGUAAUGCAAGGAAUGUCAUUCCCGAUUAAAAAAAUUUUAUUCAUAUACAAAAUAAGAAAUACACUCAUAUAACUAUUAACCCAUUUGUAUUUGCAAGGUUCUUCUUCGUUCUCAAUGAAGUCAUGUAUUUUGAUCACUUAUCAAAAUGUAUGUUCCAACUUCGAAAUAUUUAGCAUUACGAUAUCCACUCACUACUCUUAGUAAGUAUACCGUAUCCGAUCAAGUACAUGAUGUAUAUGAUAGAAUAAAUUCUACUGAUAAACACUCUAUGUAUGUUGGACUGGGAUAAGCCAAGCAACUUCUUAAAUCUAUCUCUAUAGAUCUUCAUCCCUAGGAUGAGAGAUACUUUUCCAAAGUCUUUUAUGGAGAACUAUGAUAAUAGCAAAAUAUUUAUUCCCUAUAAUGCAAGGAAUGUCAUUUUCGAUUAAAAAAAUUUUAUUCAUAUACAAAAUAAGAAAUACACUCAUAUAACUAUUAACCCAUUUGUAUUUACAAGGUUCUUCUUCAUUCUCAACGAAGUCAUGUAUUUUGAUCACUUAUCAAAAUGCAUGUUCCAACUUCGAAAUAUUUAGCAUUACCUUAGAAAAAAAUAUCUCAUUAUGGUCAAUACCAUAAUGUUAACGAUACCCUUAGGCAACCAGAUAAGCUUUGUAGGUCUUCACCUUCUUAUCUAUGCUCUUUGAUACUAUUGAAGAUCCACUUACAUCCUAUGAGUUUUAUCCCUUCGAGUGAAUCAAUGAGUGCCCAUACACUAUUGAUCUUCAUGGACUCUAUUUCGGACUCUAUAGCUCUAAGCUAUUAAUCAGAGUCGAAUCUCUGCAUGGCAUCCAUAUACGUAAUCAUAUUCUUAUUGUUCUCAUCGAGUUCAACAACAAUCACGUUUCGAAACUAGAAACCAAAGUAUCUAUCCAACAGAUAUGGUACCAUAUCGGAUCUCCUUAAUGGUGCUUUUACAAUAGGUUUUAGGUUUGAUCUAAUUAAAUCUGGUUCUUUGGAUUCACUAAAUUAUAUCGGUUCUUUUACCUGUCAAACUUCAUAAGUUCAACAUUAAAGAUAUCAGUACCUUCAUCAAGGUACUUUUUUUCUGAAAAGAAUGCCAAACAACUCUUGUUCUUUAGUAAGGUAGAAGUUAAAUCCUCUAGAUUCUUUAGGAUUAUCCUACAAAAAUACAUAUACUAUCGAGAUCCAAGCUAAUUAGUCUGCAAUUGCUUGACAUAAGUCAAACACUCUCAAAUCCUAAGAUAAGAGAAUAUCGGCUUAUGCCUAGUCCAUAUCUCAUGUGAAGUCAUUACGACUGAUUAAUUCGAAAUCCAAUUCAGAACAUAACAAGCAGUCUCAAAAGCAUAAUCUUAAAAAGAGAUCGACAAACUUGUAAACCCCAUCAUGGAUCGAACU
rnacentral:lncRNA from 1 species